rfam:Sugiyamaella lignohabitans strain CBS 10342 chromosome B, complete sequence.
GGCCCGAUGGUUUAGGGGUAUAAUACUCGCUUAGGGCAAUGCAUUUGUUAUCAAUUGCUUGAAAACUCUAAGUCGUUUGCGAGUGGUCCCGGGUUCGAUUCCCGGUUGGGCCC